CCCCGUCUUCAUCUGGACACUGAUCCUCUGGACUCAAGAAUGCAGAGGUCAAGCAACAGUAACUCAGACUCCUGCAGUGAAAUCUGUUCUUCCAGGA